rnacentral:rRNA from 1 species
UACGUAGGUCCCGAGCGUUGUCCGGAUUUAUUGGGCGUAAAGCGAGCGCAGGCGGUUAGAUAAGUCUGAAGUUAAAGGCUGUGGCUUAACCAUAGUACGCUUUGGAAACUGUUUAACUUGAGUGCAAGAGGGGAGAGUGGAAUUCCAUGUGUAGCGGUGAAAUGCGUAGAUAUAUGGAGGAACACCGGUGGCGAAAGCGGCUCUCUGGCUNUGUAACUGACGCUGAGGCUCGAAAGCGUGGGGAGCAAACAGGAUUAGAUAC